UACGUAGGGGGCUAGCGUUGUCCGGAUUUAUUGGGCGUAAAGAGCGUGUAGGCGGCCAGGUAGGUCUGCUGUGAAAACUCGAGGCUCAACCUCGAGACGUCGGCGGAAACCAUCUGGCUAGAGUCCGGAAGAGGAGAGUGGAAUUCCUGGUGUAGCGGUGAAAUGCGCAGAUAUCAGGAAGAACACCGGUGGCGAAGGCGGGACUCUGGGCCGAUACUGACGCUGAGGAGCGAAAGCGUGGGGAGCGAACAGG
rnacentral:rRNA from 1 species